UGUAGAUGUAGAGAAAAUCCGAUGUAACCGCUAAUUUCAUACGCAAUAUGGCAUCUAUUUCAUGUUAUAUUACAUCGUCUUGAAAUUACACAGAAACAACGUUACCAUUUUCGAUCACAUAGAAUUUGUGUAAUAAUCACACCAAAACUAAAUAGAUAUUACACAGAAACAGCUGCAACCCUUUCGUUCCGACCUGCUUUAGUGAUAUUACACAACUUCGAUGUCAUUUCGCACUCAACACUAAUGUAAUAAAACAUCUCGCAACACUGCCAUACUUUGUUUUGGUCAGCGGUUAAAGAUGGCCGAUAUGGCAGUAGUUCGCGAUCGCGUUUUUUUUUCGCACGAAUUCAUCUCGCGAAAUACUCGGGAAUCUUACUUAAAUCUGUAAUAAUAAGUGAUCUAUCUAUUCGACAAAUUUAAAAACAUUUCGUUACCGAUGCCAAUUGUAGUGUGGUGAAACAAAAAAGUGAUAAAUUCAAUGACUCAUAAGCCAAGGAACUUACCAAAUUUGUAAUUUCUUCCUGGCAAGUGAAAACAAAAGAUGAUCCAAGCAGACAUCAUUGACCAGCGUAAGCAGGAUUCCCAUUCCAAUCCCCGGAAUCCGGAUAGAGUAGCAAAUGACCGCUUUUGCCCCGGUGGUCUCCCUACUUAUGAUUGCUAGGAGAACCAAGUAGCAGUCGUUCUCUUGCUCGUGAUGAUCCAGUUUACCGGCGGAUUUAGAAAUGGAACCACAAUUUUCGUUCGAUUCUGGAAUGGUGUGCCGUUCCAUCGGUGGCGUAAAUAUACCUCGGACUGUACUGGAGGUGGCAUCAUAUAGACCCAAUACAUCAUGUUGUAUGGAUGAAGGAACUCCCGCACCCACUAAUACAGGACAUGUAAUCACGGCAAUGUGUUUCAAAUGCCAGAAAGUGCUAUCUAGCAUCGGAACGGCGACUACGGUGAAACGGAUUUACACGAAGAACUCGAACGAGCUCUGCGGAUCAUUCCACUGUGCUGAAAGCAUCUAAACAGUACUAGGAACGCCUUCAUGCUAUGUGAACUACAAUGUGAUUACUCGGGAUUAUCUCCUACGUUAGGCGACUCAGGAAUUAUAUUUCAUCAUUUAUAGCUGUUUGAUGCAAUAAAAAUGUGAUAAAUAAUUUGAA
rnacentral:lncRNA from 1 species